AUUGAACGCUGGCGGCAUGCUUUACACAUGCAAGUCGAACGGCAGCAUGGGUGCUUGCACCUGAUGGCGAGUGGCGAACGGGUGAGUAAUGUAUCGGAACAUGUCCGGAAGUGGGGGAUAACGUAGCGAAAGUUACGCUAAUACCGCAUAUGCCCUGAGGGGGAAAGGAGGGGAUCGCAAGACCUUUCGCUUUCGGAGUGGCCGAUAUCAGAUUAGCUUGUUGGUGAGGUAAAGGCUCACCAAGGCGACGAUCUGUAGCGGGUCUGAGAGGAUGAUCCGCCACACGGGGACUGAGACACGGCCCAGACUCCUCCGGGAGGCAGCAGUGGGGAAUUUUGGACAAUGGGGGCAACCCUGAUCCAGCCAUGCCGCGUGAGUGAAGAAGGCCUUCGGGUUGUAAAGCUCUUUCGGACAGAAAGAAAUCGCACUUACUAAUACUGAGUGUGGAUGACGGUACUGUAAGAAGAAGCACCGGCUAACUACGUGCCAGCAGCAGCCGCCGUAA
rnacentral:rRNA from 1 species